GAAGGGAGCUUGCUCCCGGAUGUUAGCGGCGGACGGGUGAGUAACACGUGGGUAACCUGCCUGUAAGACUGGGAUAACUCCGGGAAACCGGAGCUAAUACCGGAUAGUUCCUUGAACCGCAUGGUUCAAGGAUGAAAGACGGUUUCGGCUGUCACUUACAGAUGGACCCGCGGCGCAUUAGCUAGUUGGUGAGGUAACGGCUCACCAAGGCGACGAUGCGUAGCCGACCUGAGAGGGUGAUCGGCCACACUGGGACUGAGACACGGCCCAGACUCCUACGGGAGGCAGCAGUAGGGAAUCUUCCGCAAUGGACGAAAGUCUGACGGAGCAACGCCGCGUGAGUGAUGAAGGUUUUCGGAUCGUAAAGCUCUGUUGUUAGGGAAGAACAAGUGCAAGAGUAACUGCUUGCACCUUGACGGUACCUAACCAGAAAGCCACGGCUAACUACGUGCCAGCAGCCGCGGUAAUACGUAGGUGGCAAGCGUUGUCCGGAAUUAUUGGGCGUAAAGGGCUCGCAGGCGGUUUCUUAAGUCUGAUGUGAAAGCCCCCGGCUCAACCGGGGAGGGUCAUUGGAAACUGGGAAACUUGAGUGCAGAAGAGGAGAGUGGAAUUCCACGUGUAGCGGUGAAAUGCGUAGAGAUGUGGAGGAACACCAGUGGCGAAGGCGACUCUCUGGUCUGUAACUGACGCUGAGGAGCGAAAGCGUGGGGAGCGAACAGGAUUAGAUACCCUGGUAGUCCACGCCGUAAACGAUGAGUGCUAAGGGUUAGGGGGUUUCCGCCCCUUAGUGCUGCAGCUAACGCAUUAAGCACUCCGCCUGGGGAGUACGGUCGCAAGACUGAAACUCAAAGGAAUUGACGGGGGCCCGCACAAGCGGUGGAGCAUG
rnacentral:rRNA from 1 species